GUGCGCGCGGCAGUGACGCCGAUGCUGGCGCGCAUGCGUUGCCCGCGGACCUGUCCGCGCGCGAAUGGGUGCGUGAGUCGGUGCUGCCGGCGGCCGCCACCGCGGCGACCCUGCUCGCGCGCA
rnacentral:rRNA from 1 species